rnacentral:miRNA from 1 species
GCUGACACAUUCCAGCCAAUCAGCAGCAGACCCUCCCUCCCAGACCCUCCCACCUCCUGGACAGCAUCCAUUUUACAUUCAUUGUGAAGCUGCAUUCUUAGUGAGCUGUCCAGGAGAUGGGAGGGUCUGGGAGGGAGGGUCUGCUGCUGAUUGGCUGGAAUGUGUCUG